UACGGAGGGUGCGAGCGUUGUCCGGAAUCGUUGGGCGUAAAGGGUGCGUAGGCGGCAUGAUAAGUUAUUGGCGGCAAAUCGAGGCUCAACCUCGUGGAAACUGAUAAUACUGUCUUGCUUGAGUGCAGAAGAGGUUAACGGAACUCCAUGUGGAGCGGUAAAAUGUGUAGAUAUAUGGAAGAACAUCAAUAACGGCGAAGGCAGUUAACUAUUCUGUUACUGACGUUGAGGCACGAAAGCGUGGGGAGCAAAAAGG
rnacentral:rRNA from 1 species